rnacentral:rRNA from 1 species
UUGAACGCUGGCGGCAUGCUUUACACAUGCAAGUCGAACGGUAACAGGUCUUCGGAUGCUGACGAGUGGCGAACGGGUGAGUAAUGCAUCGGAACGUGCCCAGUCGUGGGGGAUAACGCAGCGAAAGCUGUGCUAAUACCGCAUACGAUCUAUGGAUGAAAGCGGGGGAUCGCAAGACCUCGCGCGAUUGGAGCGGCCGAUGUCAGAUUAGCUAGUUGGUGGGGUAAAGGCCCACCAAGGCGACGAUCUGUAGCUGGUCUGAGAGGAUGAUCAGCCACACUGGAACUGAGACACGGUCCAGACUCCUACGGGAGGCAGCAGUGGGGAAUAUUGGACAAUGGGCGCAAGCCUGAUCCAGCAAUGCCGCGUGCAGGAAGAAGGCCUUCGGGUUGUAAACUGCUUUUGUACGGAGCGAAAAGGCUUCCUCUAAUACAGGGGGUCCAUGACGGUACCGUAAGAAUAAGCACCGGCUAACUACGUG